GUACACACCGCCCGUCACACCAUGGAAGUCUGCAAUGCCCGAAGCCGGUGGCCUAACCACUUAUGUGGAAGGAGCCGUCUAAGGCAGGGCAGAUGACUGGGGUGAAGUCGUAACAAGGUAUC
rnacentral:rRNA from 1 species